UACGUCGGGGGCAAGCGUUGUCCGGAUUUACUGGGCGUAAAGAGCGUGUAGGCGGCCACGCAGGUCCGUUGUGAAAACUGGAGGCUCAACUUCCAGCCGUCGACGGAAACCGUGUGGCUAGAGUCCGGAAGAGGAGAGUGGAAUUCCUGGUGUAGCGGUGAAAUGCGCAGAUAUCAGGAAGAACACCAAUGGCGAAGGCAGCUCUCUGGGACGGUACUGACGCUGAGACGCGAAAGCGUGGGGAGCGAACAGG
rnacentral:rRNA from 1 species